GAUGAACGCUGGCGGCGUGCCUAAUACAUGCAAGUCGAGCGAACAGACGAGGAGCUUGCUCCUCUGACGUUAGCGGCGGACGGGUGAGUAACACGUGGAUAACCUACCUAUAAGACUGGGAUAACUUCGGGAAACCGGAGCUAAUACCGGAUAAUAUAUUGAACCGCAUGGUUCAAUAGUGAAAGACGGUUUUGCUGUCACUUAUAGAUGGAUCCGCGCCGCAUUAGCUAGUCGGUAAGGUAACGGCUUACCAAGGCAACGAUGCGUAGCCGACCUGAGAGGGUGAUCGGCCACACUGGAACUGAGACACGGUCCAGACUCCUACGGGAGGCAGCAGUAGGGAAUCUUCCGCAAAGGGCGAAAGCCUGACGGAGCAACGCCGCGUGAGUGAUGAAGGUCUUCGGAUCGUAAAACUCUGUUAUUAGGGAAGAACAAAUGUGUAAGUAACUAUGCACGUCUUGACGGUACCUAAUCAGAAAGCCACGGCUAACUACGUG
rnacentral:rRNA from 1 species